rnacentral:rRNA from 1 species
AACGAACGCUGGCGGCAGGCCUAACACAUGCAAGUCGAACGCCCUAGCAAUAGGGAGUGGCAGACGGGUGAGUAACACGUGGGAACCUUCCCUAUACUACGGAAUAGCCCAGGGAAACUUGGAGUAAUACCGUAUACGCCCGAGAGGGGAAAGAUUUAUCGGUAUAGGAUGGGCCCGCGUCGGAUUAGCUAGUUGGUGAGGUAAUGGCUCACCAAGGCGACGAUCCGUAGCUGGUUUGAGAGAACGACCAGCCACACUGGGACGGAGACACGGCCCAGACUCCUACGGGAGGCAGCAGUGGGGAAUAUUGGACAAUGGGCGCAAGCCUGAUCCAGCCAUGCCGCGUGAGUGAUGAAGGCCUUAGGGUUGUAAAGCUCUUUUGCCGGGGACGAUAAUGACGGUACCUGGAGAAUAAGUCCCGGCUAACUUCGUGCCAGCCGCCGCAGUAA